CCACGCCGUAAACGAUGAGUGCUAAGUGUUAGGGGGUUUCCGCCCCUUAGUGCUGGAGCAAACGCAUUAAGCACUCCGCCUGGGGAGUACGGCCGCAAGGCUGAAACUCAAAGGAAUUGACGGGGACCCGCACAAGCGGUGGAGCAUGUGGUUUAAUUCGAAGCUACGCGAAGAACCUUACCAGGUCUUGACAUCCCGCUGACCGGUAUAGAGAUAUACCUUUCCCUUCGGGGACAGCGGUGACAGGUGGUGCAUGGUUGU
rnacentral:rRNA from 1 species